rnacentral:rRNA from 1 species
GACGAAACGCUGGCGGCGCGCCUAACACAUGCAAGUCGAACGAGAGAUGAGGAGCUCGCUCUCAAAUCGAGCGGCGAACGGGUGAGUAACGCGUGAGGAACCUGCCUCAAAGAGGGGGACAACAGUUGGAAACGACUGCUAAUACCGCAUAAGCCCACGGCUCGGCAUCGAGCAGAGGGAAAAGGAGCAAUCCGCUUUGAGAUGGCCUCGCGUCCGAUUAGCUAGUUGGUGAGGUAAUGGCCCACCAAGGCGACGAUCGGUAGCCGGACUGAGAGGUUGAACGGCCACAUUGGGACUGAGACACGGCCCAGACUCCUACGGGAGGCAGCAGUGGGGAAUAUUGCACAAUGGGGGAAACCCUGAUGCAGCGACGCCGCGUGGAGGAAGAAGGUCUUCGGAUUGUAAACUCCUGUUGUUGAGGAAGAUAAUGACGGUACUCAACAAGGAAGUGACGGCUAACUACGUGCCAGCAGCCGCGGUAAAACGUAGGUCACAAGCGUUGUCCGGAAUUACUGGGUGUAAAGGGAGCGCAGGCGGGAGAACAAGUUGGAAGUGAAAUCCAUGGGCUCAACCCAUGAACUGCUUUCAAAACUGUUUUUCUUGAGUAGUGCAGAGGUAGGCGGAAUUCCCGGUGUAGCGGUGGAAUGCGUAGAUAUCGGGAGGAACACCAGUGGCGAAGGCGGCCUACUAGGCACCAACUGACGCUGAGGCUCGAAAGUGUGGGUAGCAAACAGGAUUAGAUACCCUGGUAGUCCACACCGUAAACGAUGAUUACUAGGUGUUGGAGGAUUGACCCCUUCAGUGCCGCAGUUAACACAAUAAGUAAUCCACCUGGGGAGUACGACCGCAAGGUUGAAACUCAAAGGAAUUGACGGGGGCCCGCACAAGCAGUGGAGUACGUGGUUUAAUUCGACGCAACGCGAAGAACCUUACCAAGUCUUGACAUCCCUUGACGAACAUAGAAAUAUGUUUUCUCUUCGGAGCAAGGAGACAGGUGGUGCAUGGUUGUCGUCAGCUCGUGUCGUGAGAUGUUGGGUUAAGUCCCGCAACGAGCGCAACCCUUAUGGUCAGUUACUACGUAAGAGGACUCUGGCCAGACUGCCGUUGACAAAACGGAGGAAGGUGGGGAUGACGUCAAAUCAUCAUGCCCUUUAUGACUUGGGCUACACACGUACUACAAUGGCGUUAAACAAAGAGAAGCAAGACCGCGAGGUGGAGCAAAACUCAGAAACAACGUCCCAGUUCGGACUGCAGGCUGCAACUCGCCUGCACGAAGUCGGAAUUGCUAGUAAUCGUGGAUCAGCAUGCCACGGUGAAUACGUUCCCGGGCCU